rnacentral:rRNA from 1 species
GCAUUAGCUAGUUGGUAAGGUAACGGCUUACCAAGGCGACGAUGCAUAGCCGAGUUGAGAGACUGAUCGGCCACAUUGGGACUGAGACACGGCCCAAACUCCUACGGGAGGCAGCAGUAGGGAAUCUUCCACAAUGGGCGAAAGCCUGAUGGAGCAACGCCGCGUGAGUGAAGAAGGUUUUCGGAUCGUAAAGCUCUGUUGUUGGUGAAGAAGGAUAGAGGUAGUAACUGGCCCCUAUUUGACGGUAAUCAACCAGAAAGUCACGGCUAACUACGUGCCAGCAGCCGCGGUAAUACGUAGGUGGCAAGCGUUGUCCGGAUUUAUUGGGCGUAAAGCGAGCGCAGGCGGAAAGAUAAGUCUGAUGUGAAAGCCCCCGGCUUAACCGAGGAAUUGCAUCGGAAACUGUGUUUCUUGAGUGCAGAAGAGGAGAGUGGAACUCCAUGUGUAGCGGUGGAAUGCGUAGAUAUAUGGAAGAACACCAGUGGCGAAGGCGGCUCUCUGGUCUGUAACUGACGCUGAGGCUCGAAAGCAUGGGUAGCGAACAGGAUUAGAUACCCUGGUAGUCCAUGCCGUAAACGAUGAGUGCUAAGUGUUGGGAGGUUUCCGCCUCUCA